rnacentral:tRNA from 1 species
GGCUCGAUAGCUCAGUUGGUAGAGCAGAGGAUUGAAAAUCCUCGUGUCGGCGGUUCGAUUCCGUCUCGAGCCA